UAUGGUAAUUAGUUUAACCAAAACAAAUGAUUUCGACUCAUUAGACUAUGUACUACUCAUAAUUACCAAC
rnacentral:tRNA from 1 species